AUUGAACGCUGGCGGCAUGCCUUACACAUGCAAGUCGAACGGUAACGGGCCUUCGGGCGCCGACGAGUGGCGCACGGGUGAGUAAUACAUCGGAACGUGCCCGAUCGUGGGGGAUAACGAGGCGAAAGCUUUGCUAAUACCGCAUACGAUCUACGGAUGAAAGCAGGGGACCGCAAGGCCUUGCGCGGACGGAGCGGCCGAUGGCAGAUUAGGUAGUUGGUGGGAUAAAAGCUUACCAAGCCGACGAUCUGUAGCUGGUCUGAGAGGAUGAUCAGCCACACUGGGACUGAGACACGGCCCAGACUCCUACGGGAGGCAGCAGUGGGGAAUUUUGGACAAUGGGCGCAAGCCUGAUCCAGCCAUGCCGCGUGCAGGAUGAAGGCCUUCGGGUUGUAAACUGCUUUUGUACGGAACGAAAAGCCUUCUUUUAAUACAGGAGGGUCAUGACGGUACCGUAAGAAUAAGCACCGGCUAACUACGUG
rnacentral:rRNA from 1 species